rfam:Salmo salar isolate Sally breed double haploid chromosome ssa15, whole genome shotgun sequence.
CACACGCAUGACUAUAAAUCGCUUUGGAUAAAAGCGUCUGCUAAAUGGCACAUA